GCUCCUUUAAAGCAAGCAGGCUCUGGUUUUCUCUCUCCUCCCCACUCAUCCCCGGCUUAGCGAGCUGAAAAACUUUGCUGCUAUGUAGCGAGCUGAGUGGGGAGGAGAGAGGGAAAGAGAGCCUGCUUGCUUUAAAGGAACC